UCGAAGCCCAAUAGAAUUGGUGGUAGUCUCCGUCGCCAACCUUCCAACUUCAUCCGAUAUGGGCAUCCGACUCCGCCGCCGGCGGUGGAUCCUCCUAGCCCUCGCCUCCGCCGUCUCCGCCUACGGCGCCUACAGGAUCUACCAUCUCCCCUCCGUCGCGCGGGGCCGCAGGAAGCUCUCUCGCGUGCUCGCCGCUCUCUCCGCCGCCGCAGACGCAGCAGCCUCCACCGCAGAGGCUGUCUCUCUCGUAUCGUCCGAUCUCACCCUCUUCCUUCGCUCCGAUUCCACCGAUCUCCCCUCCAGCCUGAAGCAGAUCACUAAGAUCGUCCGCUCCGACGAGUUCUCGGAUUCCGUUUCUAGGGUUUCGGAAGCCCUAACGACGGGAAUCGCGAGAGGUAUCCAGUUCGGCGAACAUUCGGCCUAUCCUCCCGUUUCAGAGCCCAGGGAUGGAGCAAGAUUCACGGAUCGGAUCGUGGACAGGCUGUUCUCCGCCUCUGGAUCCGGGCUUGUAUCUGUGAUGGCCGGGAGCUUUGCGAGGGGUCUCGUGAUGGGGUUCUAUCAAAGCGAAUCGGGCGACGGCGAAGAAGGAUUGGACUCGCAGGCGGUGCCGCGCUGGGUGCAAUUGAUGUGCCGUGACGAAUCUAGAGAGCUCAUUGGAAAUUGCGUUCAACUCUUCGUGAGCACAGCCGUCACUGUGUACCUCGAAAAAACGAUGGAAAUCAACGCCUUUGAUGAGUUCUUCUCCGGGCUCACCAACCCCAUCCACGAGGCUAAGAUGAAGGACAUGCUGGUUUCAGUGUGCAAUGGAGCAGUCCAAACCCUUGUGAAGACUUCCCACAAGGUUCUGACGAGUUCGAAUUCCUCUCAUGGAAACAAAACAGAAAGUUCCAAACUUGAGGAGAAAUCUGGCGCGGAACUCGCAAGGAGUUUUACAUUGAUUGAGGAUGGUGGUGGCUGGGUGGAUCAAAUAACAUCCACAUUGUCUGUGCCAGGCAACAGGAGGUUCGUUCUUGAUGUCACAGGGAGGAUAACCUUUGAGACUGUCAGGUCAUUCCUUGACUUUGUCCUAUGGAAGAUGUCUGAUGCUUCCAGAAGAGGAGCUAAUGGUGUUAAAGAGGAGUUGAUACGGGGUUUGGAAGUUUUGAGGCAUUUAAGCGCCAGGUCGAUUAUCAUUAUUGCUGUAUGCCUCUGCUUGUGCCUGCAUAUUUACAUGAGGAUGCCAAUUCUUACCUCAGAUUUGGUUGGUAACCGAUAUCUUGGAGUUCAGUAAGGAUUCUUAUGCACUGAUAUAAAGAAGGCAGCUUUCCAUACCUAUGUAUACCAUGGACACUUCCUGGAUAGCAUAUCACAAGAUUGUUCAACCCGGCGUGGCGGAGGACGCCAUGCAAGAGCAGUUGCCACUGCACUGACAGAACUGGAGAACUCCAGUGUGUUCAAUCGCGAGUCACAAUGGAGGAUGCCAUUGAGGAACUAUUACAGGUGAUGUGGUUGCUGAAUAUAAGCCUUUUUUCUGAUUCAAGAAUUGUUUUAGGAGGAGAUUUUCACAAGAUAGAUCAAAUCAAAGGAUCAAAUGUUCAUCCUGUGUCAGUUCAAAAUGAGCGUUGGAAUUUUACUCUUGUUUUUCAAUGUUUUGUUUGGACAAAAUAAGUGCUGUGUCCACACAAAUGAUCAAACUGUUGUUACUUGCAGUGGCAUAUCCAAUGAACAGAGUACUCAUCUCUCCCGUUAUCAAUGUCUUUCCACAGCCUUUUUUUUCUUUUUUGUACUAGUUUUUUAUUCUUUCAGUGAUCGAACUGUGUAAUCUUCAGUUUUUGGACUUCAUAUCAGUUGGUUUUUGAAAAUUAGUUUGAA